rnacentral:rRNA from 1 species
GACGAACGCUGGCGGCGUGCCUAAUACAUGCAAGUCGAACGCAGUGGGGACGGGUGAGUAACACGUGGGUAACCUCCCAUCAGAGGGGAUAACACUUGGAAACAGGUGCUAAACCGAUACUGAUGGAUGGACCCGCGGUGCAUUAGCUAGUUGGUGAGGUAACGGCCCACCAAGGCCACGAUGCAUAGCCGUCCUGAGGGGGGGAUCGGCCAAAUUGGAACGGGGACACGGCCCAGACUCCUACGGGAGGCAGCAGUAGGGAACCUCCGGCAAUGGACGAAAGUCGGACCGAGCAAGGCCGCGUGAGGGAAGCAGGUUUUCGGAUGGUAAAACUCUGUGGUUAGAGAAGCGGUAUCUAACCAGAAAGCCACGGCUAACUACGUGCCAGCAGCCGCGGUAAUAC